AUGGCGGCCGCUUCGUCGCUCCACGUCGCCGCCCCGGCCGCCACCCCGCGGGUGGGAUCUGCCGGCCCCAAAUCCGCGUCAGCGGCGAGGAGCGUGCGCGUGGCCAGAUCGGGCGCGGCGGUGCGCCCUGGAGGCAGGCUGGUGGCUUGCGCCGCCGUUGCAACCAAGGCUGAUGCGCCGGCGAGCGAGGCGGCGUCCAAGUCUGAAGGUCAUGAGGUAUUGCUGUUUGAGGCUCUUCGUGAGGGUUUGAUGGAAGAGAUGCAAGCGGAUCCAACGGUGUGUGUCUUUGGUGAAGAUGUCGGUCACUAUGGGGGUUCUUACAAGGUGACCAAGGGUUUGGCUGAUAUGUUUGGAGACCUUCGUGUUCUUGACACACCAAUUGCUGAGAACUCGUUCACCGGCAUGGGAGUUGGAGCAGGAAUGAAGGGGCUGAGGCCUGUUGUUGAAGGCAUGAACAUGGGCUUCCUUCUCCUUGCUUACAACCAAAUCUCAAACAACUGCGGUAUGCUUCAUUACACCUCUGGCGGCCAGUUCAAGAUACCACUUGUGAUCCGAGGUCCUGGUGGUGUUGGUCGUCAGCUUGGUGCAGAGCAUUCGCAGCGCCUGGAGUCAUACUUCCAGUCAAUCCCUGGUCUCCAGAUGGUUGCUUGCUCCACUCCUUACAAUGCCAAGGGUUUAAUGAAGGCUGCCAUAAGGAGCGAGAACCCUGUCGUGCUAUUUGAGCACGUCCUUCUGUACAACCUGAAGGAGAAAAUUCCGGAUGAGGAGUACACUCUAUGCCUGGAGGAGGCUGAGAUGGUACGGCCUGGUGAGCAUGUGACCAUCCUCACAUACUCGCGUAUGAGGUACCAUGUGAUGCAGGCUGCAAAGACGCUGGUGAACAAAGGGUACGAUCCUGAGGUGAUUGACAUUAGGUCGUUGAAGCCAUUCGAUCUGCACACAAUAGGCAACUCCAUCAAGAAGACCCACCGCGUGCUGAUUGUGGAGGAGUGCAUGCGCACUGGCGGGAUUGGCGCCAGUCUGAGAUCGGCCAUCAUCGACAACUUCUGGGACUACCUUGACGCCCCCAUCAUGUGCCUGUCAUCUCAGGACGUGCCGACACCCUACGCCGCAACUUUGGAGGAUGCGACCGUCGUGCAGCCUGCCCAGAUUGUUGCGGCCGUUGAGCAAAUAUGCCAAUAG
rnacentral:rRNA from 1 species